UAAAAGCUAAAAUUCAGGCUGAACCUCAAGAAAUAUUAAUUCUAUGGGACACUAUAAGAGGCGACAGAAACUAUAUUAAUGAAGAAACUUUCCUUACCUAUUAUAAAGAUGAAGAACCGAAUGAAUUGUCAAGCGUUAUAAAAGAAUUCGGCCAUCAGUAUUUAUUUAGUCAAAGUGACACUCA